AUGAAAACCAACAAAAAUAAAAAUGUAAUGUUUUCUUCUGACUUUAACUUUUCAAGAACUUCUAGAAUCAUUAUAGAAAGUGAAGAUCUGGAUGUGGCACCAUUCCCUCCUGCCCAUUUAUUUCUUUCUAGAGACCAAGUCAGACUCCUGGAAGAAAAUGUGAGAAAUCAAAUUCCUUUAAAAUCCAAAGCUUCGUUAGAGAGUAAAGCUACCCAUCUGUACUCAAGUUCUCAAGAGUCCUUGAUUCAGAAUCAGCAUUCUGUUAGAAUGGACAUUUUUGCCCAAGCGCAAGAUUCUUUUCCAGGACAAAGCGAUACUCAGUAUCAAAGUUUUUCUGAAGCACAAUUUACUAGUCAAGCCCGAGAGUCUGUUAACAACCAGGAAUCAAUCAGCAGCCAUGCUGAUGUCAAGGCCAGGUACUUUGCUCUGCCUCAAGAGCUGAUGAAGAAACCACUCUCCAGCAGCACACACGCUUCCUUCCAGACAAAAGACAUGGUCAGGAACCAACCGUCAGUCGAAGUCCCACAUUCUGUUGAGACCAAAGAUUCCAUCGAGGGCCUAGACUCUGAUAAAAAACACUUAGAUGAGGCCCAAUAUUCUGUUUGGUUUGAAGAUUCAAACGAGAUUAAAUAUUUAAUCCAGUUGGAAAAUACUAUUUUUAAGAAUGCCAGGUUUCUAGUUUUAACUCUGAACCCAAAGUCGGUAGUUAAAGGCCUGCCACAGCUAAAGAGUGUAAGGACAAAGGGCCGGAAACAAAUUGCUUCCUCGAAAUUAAAGCGGUAUCACGCUUAUGGCUCAGUGCCUCUUGCACCUACCUUGAACAGGCAGAAAAAGAGAAGAAAAAGCUUACACUGUAAAAGUAAAUUUAGGCUCAGAGUUCCACCUCAGAAGUCAAAGGAAACACCAACUUCACGGGUAUUUCAAAUCACAGGUAUUUCGUGUCACACUUCAGAAUGUAGCAAGUUAAGACACAGGUACGUUAAGAAGAAAGCGUUACAUCAAAGAAAAAGUAUACCAGGUAUCGUGUUGCGUCUUAUUUAUGUUUUCAAGUUUGUUCCUCCUUAUAGCAGGAAGUAUUCCCAGAAAAGACUAGUGAGAUCCAUGCCGGAUUUAAUAGGAUGUGGCCGUUUUCUGCUGAAGCAACAACAUAAAUCACCACACGCAGAGCAAGUCAGCCAUGCAGGGUCUACCAAGAAAGGAGGAACCUCGGAGAGUACUAAAAAUACAGAGCACAUGGCAGAGAGACUACAGGGCUAA
rnacentral:lncRNA from 1 species